rnacentral:rRNA from 1 species
GGCACGAAAGCGUGGGGAUCAAACAGGAUUAGAUACCCUGGUAGUCCACGCCCUAAACGAUGAUUACUCGACAUUUGCGAUAUACAGUAAGUGUCUGAGCGAAAGCAUUAAGUAAUCCACCUGGGAAGUACGACCGCAAGGUUGAAACUCAAAUGAAUUGAAUUGACGG